rnacentral:rRNA from 1 species
CGUAGGGGGCAAGCGUUGUCCGGAAUUAUUGGGCGUAAAGAGCGCGCAGGCGGGUCUGUCAGUCUACCGUGAAAGCUUACGGCUCAACCGUAACGGGUCGGUGGAUACUGCAGAUCUUGAGGGCAGGAGAGGAAAGUGGAAUUCCCAGUGUAGCGGUGAAAUGCGUAGAUAUUGGGAGGAACACCAGUGGCGAAGGCGACUUUCUGGACUGUUACUGACGCUGAGGCGCGAAAGCUGGGGGAGUGAACGGGAUUAGAUACCCCGGUAAUCCCAGCCGUAAACGAUGGGUACUAGGUGUAGGAGGUAUCGACCCCUUCUGUGCCGGAGUUAACGCAAUAAGUACCCCGCCUGGGGAGUACGGUCGCAAGACUG